GUAACAUCUACUUCGGAACGCGAGUCUAUCUGUCAAAUCAAUACGUCAUUCAAAUUGUUUUCGUGCCGGUUGUUAUGUUAUGCGUAGAGUUGAAUUUAUUCCUCCGUAUUUGCUUCUGAUCGUUACAAUUUGCGUAAAAACUGUCGAGCUGAUCGUUUUCGUGCCUCCAGUGGUUUUUUUUUAGAUAUUGGACUCUUUUCUUAAUGAUAAGUGAGCACAUUGACUCGUGAGCAUUGGACUCUUGUUUUUAGUGAUAUUGUUGUUUUACUCCGGAAAAAUGUCUGCACCUGGUAGAAGUCGAGUAAACUACUCUUUGUCUCGCCGGUGUGUUAAUUGCUCUUUACGUAUAGCGCCUAAUCUGCGUAGACGUUAAAUUGAAGAAAUAGAUGAACCAAUGCUUAUCCUUCUAAGAUCCUGGGUAACACCUACAUUGAUAUCUUCUGAUGAUAUCCUGUGUGUGAAAUGUUUUGUAUUAUUACAAAACCAGACAGCAUCUAACUCAAAUCUGUCACUUGUAUCCCCUGCUCGUGGACACCUAAACAUAUGCUACGCAUGUGGCUUGUCAAUAGCAAGUCGCAAAACUCAUAGAGUCAGUCAAGAUAGUUCCUCAAAGGAAUGUUAUACUAAGAUGGACACCAGUACAUCACGUGUUGCAUUUGGAACGAGUUUGUGUUCCUUGUUGGGCGGCUGCAUCAAGACAAGUCCGGAGGCAACCCGUUGCUGGCAGUAGCCAACACACUGUGGAGUCUGCACCGGAGACUGGUACCAUGGAUGGAAACAUAAUUACAGAUAUGAUGAUUCCUGUACCACCACCACUGCCACGGCUUUAAUGAUAUAAGCGCUCCAGCACAAUUUCUAGACAACAUAUUCCUUGAAGAAUAAAUGUUUAUUAUUUUAAUUGGUUGUGUUUUUUCUUAUUAAACAUCUGUAUAGCAUUUACUAUAUUUUAAACUCCUUUAUAAUUAAGCCCUUUCUAAAAUAAACUACAGCUAAUCAUAGAUGGCACAGCGAUCUUACUAAGUAGCAGGGCAGUGAUUUUACUAUGUCGCUUGCAGGAGAUGCUGUCAUAUAUGUCAUACAUACUCGUAUAUACUAGGUACCUACCAGUUUGCCAACAAUCUUGGGGUCGGCUUUUAGUCUAACCGAUGCCGCUGAAUACAGUAUUGCUCAAAGAGUGAUUGCCCAUCUGACCUCCAUACCCGAUACACUGGGUUAUAACAUGUUACCUCUUGGUAAGUGGUUGUCACACUUGCUGGAUUCUAGCUACUCAUAACAAGUAUAAAUAAUGCACCCAGAAUCAGCAGUUUAAAUGUAAGUACUAGCAGCCACCCAGCUGAAGUUUGUAAUGGAUGGUCACCCAAGUGCAAUCUGACCAAGUAGCUUAACUUAAGAUAUCUCCUUGUGGUUGUUGUAACGUAGCCACAUGCUCCUCCAACCAAUUUAGCCCUAAGUAUAUUUAUUUCUACUGGUGCCAGCAAAACCUACUUCCGCUGACUGCA